rnacentral:rRNA from 1 species
UGAACGCUGGCGGCAUGCCUUACACAUGCAAGUCGAACGGCAGCACGGACUUCGGUCUGGUGGCGAGUGGCGAACGGGUGAGUAAUAUAUCGGAACAUACCCAGUAGUGGGGGAUAACUAUCCGAAAGGAUAGCUAAUACCGCAUACGAUCUGUGGAUGAAAGCAGGGGAUCUUCGGACCUUGUGCUAUUGGAAUGGCCGAUAUCUGAUUAGCUAGUUGGUAGGGUAAAAGCCUACCAAGGCGACGAUCAGUAGCUGGUCUGAGAGGACGACCAGCCACACUGGAACUGAGACACGGUCCAGACUCCUACGGGAGGCAGCAGUGGGGAAUUUUGGGCAAUGGGGGCAACCCUGAUCCAGCAAUGCCGCGUGAGUGAAGAAGGCCCUCGGGUUGUAAAGCUCUUUUGUCAGGGAAGAAACGGAGUUCUCUAAUAUAGGAUUCUAAUGACGGUACCUGAAGAAUAAGCACCGGCUAACUACGUGCCAGCAGCCGCGGUAAUACGUAGGGUGCAAGCGUUAAUCGGAAUUACUGGGCGUAAAGCGUGCGCAGGCGGUUUUGUAAGUCUGAUGUGAAAUCCCCGGGCUCAACCUGGGAACUGCAUUGGAGACUGCAAGGCUAGAGUGUGUCAGAGGGGGGUAGAAUUCCCACGUGUAGCAGUGAAAUGCGUAGAGAUGUGGAGGAAUACCGAUGGCGAAGGCAGCCCCCUGGGAUAACACUGACGCUCAUGCACGAAAGCGUGGGGAGCAAACAGGAUUAGAUACCCUGGUAGUCCACGCCCUAAACGAUGUCUACUAGUUGUCGGGACUUAAUUGUCUUGGUAACGCAGCUAACGCGUGAAGUAGACCGCCUGGGGAGUACGGUCGCAAGAUUAAAACUCAAAGGAAUUGACGGGGACCCGCACAAGCGGUGGAUGAUGUGGAUUAAUUCGAUGCAACGCGAAAAACCUUACCUACCCUUGACAUGGCAGGAAUCCCGAAGAGAUUUGGGAGUGCUCGCAAGAGAACCUGCACACAGGUGCUGCAUGGCUGUCGUCAGCUCGUGUCGUGAGAUGUUGGGUUAAGUCCCGCAACGAGCGCAACCCUUGUCAUUAGUUGCUACGAAAGGGCACUCUAAUGAGACUGCCGGUGACAAACCGGAGGAAGGUGGGGAUGACGUCAAGUCCUCAUGGCCCUUAUGGGUAGGGCUUCACACGUCAUACAAUGGUACAUACAGAGGGCCGCCAACCCGCGAGGGGGAGCUAAUCCCAGAAAGUGUAUCGUAGUCCGGAUUGUAGUCUGCAACUCGACUACAUGAAGUUGGAAUCGCUAGUAAUCGCGGAUCAGCAUGUCGCGGUGAAUACGUUCCCGGGUCUUGUACACACCGCC